rnacentral:rRNA from 1 species
CAGCAGCCACGGUAAUACGUAGGGUGCGAGCGUUAAUCGGAAUUACUGGGCGUAAAGCGUGCGCAGGCGGUGAGUUAAGUCUGCUGUGAAAUCCCCGGGCUCAACCUGGGAAUGGCAGUGGAUACUGGCUCGCUAGAGUGUGUCAGAGGAUGGUGGAAUUCCCGGUGUAGCGGUGAAAUGCGUAGAGAUCGGGAGGAACAUCAGUGGCGAAGGCGGCCAUCUGGGACAACACUGACGCUGAGGCACGAAAGCGUGGGGAGCAAACAGGAUUAGAUACCCCCGUAGUCCCUGUCUCUUAUAU